AUAUCAGUCAUGCAUAGCAUAUCAAUAAGCGGAGGAAAAGAAACUAACAAGGAUUCCCUUAGUAACGGCGAGUGAAGCGGGAAGAGCUCAAAUUUGAAAUCUUCAAGGUUUUACCUUGACGAAUUGUAGUUUAAAGAAGUGUUUUCUGUUGAAGUUUUGGUAAAAGUUCUUUGGAAUAGGACAUCAUAGAGGGUGAGAAUCCCGUAUUUGGCCAUUACUUUCAGCUUUGUGAUACACUUUCAAAGAGUCGGAUUGUUUGGGAAUGCAGUCCAAAAUGGGUGGUAAAUUUCAUCUAAAGCUAAAUAUUGGCGAGAGACCGAUAGCGAACAAGUACCGUGAGGGAAAGAUGAAAAGAACUUUGAGAAAGAGAGUUAAACAGUACGUGAAAUUGUCAAAAGGGAAGCGUUUGACACCAGUGUUGUUUUCUCGAAAAUCAAUUAAAAAGAGUUGGAUUUAGUGUUGUAUUGACUUUAUCAGCUUUCUUCACUCUUUUCCAGCUUUUUUUAAUGCACUUUUCGUUUAACAAGUCAACAUCAGUUUCUUUUGUUGUAAAAAGGUCAUUGGAAGGUGGCUUUCUCUUCGGAGAAAGUGUUUAUAGCCUUUGACUCAUGCAAUCGGAGAGACUGAGGUCUGCAGCGUAGAUCCUUCGGGGUUAGAUACAUUUGUGCUAAGUUAUAGCUUUUCAUAGACAACUUGUUGACUAUGUUUAGUCUUGUAGCUUACUCGCUUAUGCUAUUUUACCUACGCUUAGGAUGUUGAACUCUAUCACACACAG
rnacentral:rRNA from 1 species